rnacentral:tRNA from 1 species
CGGGGCGUAGCGCAGUUUGGUAGCGCACACCCUUGGGGUGGGUGAGGUCGCUGGUUCAAAUCCAGUCGCCCCGACCA